GGUGAAACUUCAUCUUCCCAACUCCAGUCUCAACGCCCCUUUGCAACGAAAUCAUCUUCUGUGGGACCACUGGGUUCUGCUGCUAAUUCUCAAGUCGCUGUGAACAAAACAGUGAAGCCUGAUUUUAGUUCAAAUACAGUAAGAGCUGCUGCAGUUGCUGCUGGGGCCCGUAUUACUACUCAAUCAGAUGCUGCUUCAUUGCUGAAGGCUGCUCGGGCAAAGAAUGUUGUUCACAUUAUGCCUGCAAGUAGUUCUUCAAUAACAUCCUUGCCUGGUGGUGCAUCCAGCCACUCUGAUGCUCUUCCCAAUGUUCACUUAAAUGACCAGGCAGCUGCAUCAUUUUCCACCCAUCCAGUCCUUGCUUCGAAGAAAGCUUCCUCACCAACUACUCAGCCUACUCCAAUUUCUGAUGCAGCCAUGAACAUGUCAUCUGAACAAGCUAAUGCUGAACUUUCAUCAAAGCAAGAUACUGAAACUACUGGAGAGAUCAAAUUUUUGUCAGAGGAUGUGACAAAAGUGCAAGUCCAAGAACAUCAAGGCUUUGUCUCGGGAAAUGAUCCAGGUGAGCUAGUUCAAGAAGAAAAAGCAGCCUUGCCAAAGCAAGCAGUAGAAUUUAAAACUCAAGUAGCUGUUGCUCAGUGUUCUAAUGCUUCACUGGAAGUGAACAUGGGUGAAAGUGACAUGGUGGAUGUCCCUGGCAACCAGGCUGAAGGGAGUCAAAAUUCAAAUGGUGAAAAGGUCAUGUCUUUGUCAUCAGUUGGAAAAAAUGAAAAUCAAUCUGCAGUUCAGGAGAAUGGUGACAAUAAAACUACAAGCAUCAAACAAGUGGAUAUUCAAAGCGUGGCAACUGAUAAAUGCAGUGAAAAAUUUGAAGCUGUUAGCAAAGCAGAGCCUUGCAAUGUGAUGACAGAAGGAGAAGGUUAGAGAAUCUUGUGUAAAGUAGCAGGAAACUUCUUUCUCUUUUCCUUUUCAGGGUAAACUUCUAUUUGCAUGUUGAUUGACUACAGAAAUUAGUGAGUGUAAAUUAGUUACAGAUUUGUGGGAAGCAAAUGAUCGAAGGGAUGUCUUUGUUAUGGUGCAAAUAUAUUUCCUGUUUGCUUCUUGUGAUGAGAUGGCUGAACUGCAUGUGAGCAUUGAAGGAAAAAGGCUUUCUGUUGGGUGCUAAAA
rnacentral:misc_RNA from 1 species